rnacentral:ncRNA from 2 species
AAUUCCGAGGAGCGCUGCGAGAGCUGUCAUUUUUAAUACGGCUUCCCAGGCUCGGAAAAUGUUUUAACGGCGCUCACCAUUA